GGGGGGGGGGGGGGGGGGGGGGGGGGGUGCGAGGGGGGGGGGGGGGGGAGGGGCGUGCGGCUCGGGCGUUAGCGGCGGACGGGUGGGGAGCACGUGGGGAACCUACCGAUCAGACUGGGCUAACGUCGGGCAACCGGGGCUAAUCCCGGAUACUCUCAUGACCCUCGUGGUUCAAUAGUGAAAGACGGUUUUGCUGUCCCUUAUAGAUGGAUCCGCGCCGCCUUAGCUAGUUGGUAAGGUAACGGCUUACCACGGCAACGAUGCGUAGCCGACCUGAGAGGGGGAUCGGCGACACUAGAACUGAGACACGGUCCAGACUCCUACGGGAGGCAGCAGUAGGGAAUCUUCCGCAAUGGGCGAAAGCUUGACGGAGCAACGCCGCGUGAGUAAUGAAGGUCUUCGGAUCGUAAAACUCUGUUAUUAGGGAAGAACAAAUGUGUAAGUAACUAUGCACGUCUUGACGGUACCUAAUCAGAAAGCCACGGCUAACUACGUG
rnacentral:rRNA from 1 species